rnacentral:lncRNA from 1 species
CACAAUCAUUUUUUUCUUUUUUUGGCUGCUAUUUUUUCAAUUUUUGCUUUGGUUUUUUCUUUCUUUUUGUUUUUUGCUUGCUUCCUCUCCUGAUUUUUGAAAGGGAAAAUCCCUUUUAUUCUGUUGAUUUUUUCAAGAAGUAGUUGGAGAGCCAUCAUGCCUAGGCCGGCCGCUGGAAAAAACGGAGGGUAGGUGCGCAAAAUGCACUGGCGGCUGGGGAUUUUGUGCUAGAAGGACCAGAUUGUAGAGGAUACAAAACUUCUGGGGUAAAAAUAUAAUUUUAGGAAAAAUUAAGGGCCAAAAUAUAAAUAGUAAAAAGUUAGGGGUCAAAAUGUAAUUUUAGGAAAAGUUGGGCCCAAAAUGUAAAUAUUAAAAAGUUAAGGGUUAAAAUAUAAAUUUUAAAAAGUUAAGGGGUCAAAAUAUAAAUUUUUAAAAGUUAAGUGGUAACAUGUAAAUUUUUUUAUCAAAUC